rnacentral:rRNA from 1 species
GAUGAACGCUGGCGGCGUGCUUAACACAUGCAAGUCGAACGGAAAGGCCCAAGCUUGCUUGGGUACUCGAGUGGCGAACGGGUGAGUAACACGUGGGUGAUCUGCCCUGCACUUCGGGAUAAGCCUGGGAAACUGGGUCUAAUACCGGAUAGGACCACAUUUUGGAUGGUGUGGUGGAAAGUUUUUCGGUGUGGGAUGAGCUCGCGGCCUAUCAGCUUGUUGGUGGGGUAAUGGCCUACCAAGGCGUCGACGGGUAGCCGGCCUGAGAGGGUGUACGGCCACAGUGGGACUGAGAUACGGCCCAGACUCCUACGGGAGGCAGCAGUGGGGAAGAUUGCACAAUGGGCGCAAGCCUGAUGCAGCGACGCCGCGUGGGGGAGGACGGCCUUCGGGUUGGAAACUCCUUUCGCUAGGGACGAAGCGUUAUGUGACGGUACCUGGAGAAGAAGCACCGGCUAACUACGUG